CUCGUGUGAAUUACGGCCCUCGCUCCGCUCUGCCCGCAAACUUCCCACUCGUAUAAGUAGUCUAUUAUUCAGUUUUAGUCUUAUUGUUAAACGGACGCUGUUUUGCACUAACCGUACUUAAUUUUGCAUCCAAAAGAUACAAUCAGGAUACCCAUGAAAUUUUAGGAUGCACGAAAUAAGUACGGUUAGUGCAAAACAGCAGCCCAUCAUUGUGAUAAUA